UACAGAGGGUGCAAGCGUUGUUCGGAAUUACUGGGCGUAAAGAGUGUGUAGGCGGUGCUCCCAGUCUGUUGUGAAAUCUCCCGGCUUAACUGGGAGGGUGCAGCGGAAACUAGAGUGCUAGAGGGUGGGAGAGGUAAGCGGAAUUCCUGGUGUAGCGGUGAAAUGCGUAGAUAUCAGGAGGAACACCGGCGGUGUAGACGGCUUUCUG
rnacentral:rRNA from 1 species